GACGAACGCUGGCGGCGUGCCUAAUACAUGCAAGUCGAACGCAGUGGGGACGGGUGAGUAACACGUGGGUAACCUCCCAUCAGAGGGGAUAACACUUGGAAACAGGUGCUAAACCGAUACUGAUGGCGUGACCCGCGGUGCAUUAGCUAGUUGGUGGGGGAACGGCGCACCAAGGCCACGAUGCAUAGCCGACCUGGUAGGGUAAUCAGCCAACCUGGGAUGGAAACACGGCCCAGACUCCUACGGGAGGGAGCAGUGGGGAAUCUUCGGCAAUGGACGAAAGUCUGACCGAGCAACGCCGCGUGAGUGAAGAAGGUUAUCGGAUCGUAAACCUCUGUUGUUGGAGAAGCGGUAUCUAACCAGAAAGCCACGGCUAACUACGUGCCAGCAGCCGCGGUAAUUC
rnacentral:rRNA from 1 species